rnacentral:rRNA from 1 species
UACGUAGGGUGCAAGCGUUGUCCGGAAUUAUUGGGCGUAAAGAGCUCGUAGGUGGUCUGUCGCGUCGGCUGUGAAAACCCGGGGCUCAACCCCGGGCCUGCAGUCGAUACGGGCAGACUAGAGUGCGGUAGGGGAGACUGGAAUUCCUGGUGUAGCGGUGAAAUGCGCAGAUAUCAGGAGGAACACCGGUGGCGAAGGCGGGUCUCUGGGCCGUAACUGACGCUGAGGAGCGAAAGCGUGGGGAGCAAACAGG